UACGGAGGGGGCAAGCGUUGUUCGGAAUUACUGGGCGUAAAGAGCGCGCAGGCGGUCGGAUCAGUCGAAUGUGAAAGCCCCCGGCUCAACUGGGGAGGGUCAUUCGAUACUGUCCGACUCGAAGGCAGGAGAGGGAAGCGGAAUUCCCGGUGUAGUGGUGAAAUGCGUAGAUAUCGGGAGGAACACCAGUGGCGAAGGCGGCUUUCUGGCCUGUUCUUGACGCUGAGGCGCGAAAGCUAGGGGAGCGAACGGG
rnacentral:rRNA from 1 species